rnacentral:rRNA from 1 species
UCAGAGCGAACGCUGGCGGUAUGCUUAACACAUGCAAGUCGAGCGCGAAAGUGACUUCGGUCAUGAGUAGAGCGGCGGACGGGUGAGUAACACGUGGAUAAUCUGCCUUUAGGACUGGGAUAACCCUGGGAAACUAGGGCUAAUACCGGAUAAGACCACAGGUUCCAUGGAACCAGGGGUAAAAGGCGGCCUUCGGGCUGUCGCCGAAAGAUGAGUCCGCGUCCCAUCAGGUAGUUGGUGAGGUAACGGCUCACCAAGCCGAAGACGGGUAGCCGACCUUAGCGGGUGAUCGGCCACACGGGGACUGAGACACGGCCCCGACUCCUACGGGAGGCAGCAGUGGGGAAUCUUGGGCAAUGGGCGCAAGCCUGACCCAGCAAUACCGCGUGAGGGAUGAAGGCCUUCGGGUCGUAAACCUCUGUCAGUAGGAACGAUGGGUCUCCGGGCUAAUAUCCCGGAGACUUGACGGUACUUACAAAGGAAGCCCCGGCUAACUCCGUGCCAGCAGCCGCGGUAAUACGGAGGGGGCGAGCGUUGCUCGGAAUUACUGGGCGUAAAGGGUCCGCAGGUGGCCUCGUAAGUUAGAUGUGAAAUCUUAGGGCUUAACCCUGAAACUGCAUCUAAUACUGCAAGGCUUGAGUCCAGGAGAGGUUGGCGGAAUUCC